rnacentral:rRNA from 1 species
AUGCCGAGGAAAGAGCGGCGGUCAGGUGUGGCAUACAUCCAUAAUGACAAAGAUCGUGAUCUCACCUUCUACAAGCGACGUUCUGGUUUGUUCAAGAGGGCGACCGACAUCUCUGCCCUCACUAGGGCUAGGGUUGCAGUCGUCCUAGAGACAAACAAUGGAAAGAUGCACUCAUUUGGGACGCCAUUGGCCGAUCCCAUUGUUGAUGCUUUCCUAUUUGGAGCUCCACCAGCAGUUCCCUCCGCCAAUGAGGCAACCACUGCCAGGAUUGGAAGCCUACAAAACGAGGUGGCUCAGUUGGACAUGGAGAACAAGACCGAGGAAGACCAAAACCAACUUUCCAUACUUCGUAUGAAAAGUAUCCAAGAAGAGAAUCCAAGUAUGGUGGCAAAUCUUUUAUUCACGAAGGAACAAGAUCUCGGUCUGGAAGAUCUAAAUAAGCUCUUCAAUGAGCUCUCUCGGGUCCAAAAAGACAUUAGAUGCCGGCUACCUCCAUUGCAUGGUGGUGAAGCCAAGACCAGUGUCACAUGUGUGGCACAAGAUCUGCAACUACCAAGUGUUCUGUCGACGGAUCAUUUGGGUACUACUCAUUCACUAAUGCAGUCAUCAUGGCCUCACAAUCUCUCACAACUCCAGCUACCUGGAGAUCCACUACCAUCACAACCAGAACAAACUUCGGCACCAAUGUUUCCUAUGCAGGUACCACAAAUGUUUGAUUUUGCACCACCAUCUUUAGCCCCACACUUGGCUUCCCAUGUCCAACCCAUACCAAAUCAGUCACAUGAGCAAACUCAACCAGAGGAGUUGCAUGUUCAGAACUAUGAAAGUCCUUGCAACAUAGUGCAACCACAACAAAGUGAUGCAAACCACGACUCAACAUCUGGGCAGAAUUUGGAGGCCUCUCCACUAUUGGGGUACUCGAGUGGCAAUGCCUUUUCUAUUGAUGACCCAUUUAACACUGAACAAUGGGGUUAUGCUCUAUCAGAUCAGUCGUUCUACAAUAGUUUCCUAGGGAUAGAUGAUUACUUAGGCUCUAGCGGUACCGAUCUAGGACAGUCUUCCAUGGUAAAUGGUGGAUGGGUUGAUGUGCCACCCUCUUCCACUGGACAAGAUAUUGAUGGUCUUAUAGACUAUGGAGAGAUUUUGUAG